AUGCCUUGCCCUGCUUCGGCUCGCGCACGGUGCGCGCACCCACUGACCUGCGCCCACUGUCUGGCACUCCCUAGAGAGAUGAACCCGGUACCUCAGAUGGAAAUGCAGAAAUCACUGUCUUCUGCGUCGCUCACGCUGGGAGCUGUAGACCGGAGCUGUUGCUAUUCGGCCAUCUUGGCUCCUUAUUCUCAUUACCUUCUUGAGUUGUGGCUCAGACACUACAACAGAGCUCCAUCACCUCUUUCUAAAAGCUGGGAAAUGGUUAUUGUCAACGCUAGCCCCAUUUUGGAGGCACCUGGCUGCAGGGGACCACAGCUAGGUGCUCCUGUGAAGAGGAAGCCUCAGGAGGGAGUGAGAGCAGAAGGGAGCCCACCUGUGGUCGUCUCAGCAACAGCAGAAGAACCUGGGCCGCUGGGAGUGGAGUUGGAGAGAAACAGGUUGAUGUGGAAGUUAUUCUGCAGGUAGAAUGGAAAGGCGAAUUCCGCAAGAUGCUCUGGGGUCCACUGAGCUCAGCUGCUCAGGCUCAGCUCUUUCUGUGGGUUCUUCUUGGGCAGCUUGUUGACCAAGAUGUGGCCCAUGCCACUCCCUAUAUUCGGAGUCCAUUUUCUGAUGCCCUCUUUCAGCUCUUCGCCUACACUCAUCUGUGACUGCCUGGUACUGCUAGGAAGCCUCUGUUUGUGUCUCAUCUCUCCAGGUGGACUGGAGCUCCUGGGGGUCCUUUCCUUUGUGGGGGUUCUCAAUAUCAGAAUGGAGUCGCUUAUGUCAAACCCUAACAAAAUGGAGGUGGAGGCCACGAAUUGGAGCCUAUAUGCGUGCCUAUAACAGGACUUGUCACAAGGAAUCCCUGCACAUAUGCGUAUGAUGGGGACUAUGCCAGGAACUCCUCACAUAUGGAGGAUUCGAGGUAAGCCAUUUGCUCAAGGACACUUGCCCAGCAAUGGCAGCCUCCACUAAUGAGACAUCGCCAACUCCUGUAAUCAAUGGUCUUUGUUUCCAAACAGCUUAUGUGGAAUUCUCCGUUUUUUUGUCUGUAAAAGUUUUCUUUAGCCCCAAUCUCUUUGGAUAUGCCUAUGAUUCAUCAUAGCACGUUUCCCAGGUUGCAAUCCCCUGCAAUUCCCAAAUAAGCUCCUUUUGUGGAGAUCCUGUCUCUCUCUGUCAUUAUUUAGGUUGACACCUUUUAUGUCCUGCCUUGCUGUUGAUGACACCCACAUUUGUACCUCCUGCUUGAAUGUCCCUUCCCCCAACUCCAAAAUUCCUCUCUCUGUCUACCCUGUACCUCUAUUUGAACCACUAAGAGGCAUCUCAGACUUAAAGUGUCCCAAACUGAGCCCCUGUGAUGCCCCCAGAGCUGCUCCUCCCCACAACCUCCUCCUCAGCAAUGGCAGCUUGAUUCUUCUUUGGGCUUUAUUCAGUCCCCCAACUUUGGAGCUUUCUUGACCCCUCUCUAUUGCUCACAUGCCAUAUUCAAUGUAUAGGCAAAUCCUUUGGCCCUGCCUUCCAAAGACAUGCAGAAUCUACUCACUUCUCGCCACCUUGCUGUCUCACUCUGCGUCAGGCCACCCUGUGUGUCCUUGCACAAUUGCGGGAGCCUUGGAUCGAGUCCUCCAGACCUUCUACCUCUUUGACUUCAUCUAGUGCUGCUCCAAGCCCUGUGCUCUUCCUUGGACACACCGGGCAUGCUGCCGGCAGAGCCUUUGCACGUGCUGUUCCCUUUGUCGGGAAGCCUUUUCCCUAGAUAUCUGCUCAGCUCAUCCGCUGUCUCUUUCGUCCUCGCUCAGAUUCCCCUUCUCUGUGAAGCCUUUCUGACCAUCCUCAUUAAAAUCAAAUAACCCCACCCCUCCACUCCCUUGCCCAUUUUCCUCAUCCAUUUCCCCCUAGGACUAAUCACUCUCUAACAUUCUAUAUAUAUUUUUCUGAUAUAUUUGUUUAUAUGUCUUGCAUAAACAAAAUGAUUUGGUUUAUGGUCUAUCUCUUCUUGCUAGAAUGUAAACUCCACAAGGGUAGGAAUGCUUGUUUAUUUUGUCACCGUUGUGUCCCUGACUCCUAAAAUGCUGAUGGUGUGGCCAGCUGCAUGCCCUGCUGUCUCUAUUUUGAAACUUUAACUAAAUUUUGGACAAGACCCUCCUCUUUCAUUUUAUGCUGGACCUGGAAAAUUACAGAGCAGGUUCUGACUUCCAGGCACAUGGUACGCAUUCAAUAAAUAAUCUCUUGAAUGAAUGUUGAAUGUAGUGGUUUUCAAAGCAGAUGGGAGAUAAGAGGUUACUGAGCGGUUGACUGAAUGGAGGGAGGGCUGAUCAUUCAUUCAUUCAUGCAUUCAUUCAUUCACUAACAUUCAACAAAUAUUUACCUGACAUCCUUAGGGAUUAAAUUUCUGUCCACUGAUAGUGAAUCUCAUGCAUCAUGUUGCACAGUCCAUAGAUUUGAGGGAUUUUACGAACACAACACCCUGUGAUGUAGGUAUGAUUGUCUCCACUUCCAGAUGAGGAUACUGAGAAGUUAAGGCAUUGCCUGAGGUCAUGUGGCUAGUGGAAGCCACAGGCAGGAUUAUCCCAUGGCUGGCCAGGCUGAGCUGUGGGGGCAGCUCCUGUACUCUCAGCCUCCUCCUUCAGAAUCCCUCCUCCUCACUCCCCAUUCGUGGGCUGCUUCUCCCAGGAUCAGGCAGCCUCUGCCCACCUUUUCUCACUUCACCCUUUCUCCUUGCAGAAUUAGAAAGAAUCGGCUCCAGCUAUUUGUUUCUUACUGUGGAUUUAUCCAUGUGUCACCUCUCCCAGGCAGAAUUACAUUCUGAAGGCAUCUCUAAUUGAGAUUGCUCCAUGGGGAAGGACUCUUAGGCCUCAGGAAGCAGGUGUUAAAGCCCUGGAGUGAGGCAGGAACCCCAAAGCCCUGAUGACACCCCAUAUAGGUACCCCCAAACCUGCCUAUACUUCAGGCCAGGCCCCCAGAAUAGAGAUGGAAAAAUAGUCCCACUUUUGGUCACAGAUUCUGGAAAACUGUGAGAUUCUGGGGAAAUCCAUUUUGAGUAAUACCUUUUAGAAGAAGAAAAAAUGGAAGUAGCUUAUCAUAGAAUGGGUUUUGUUAGACAAAGAUGGCAAUUCAGGAGGAAACACAAAUUUAACAACUCUCAAGUAUGCACAGCUGACAUCUCGUAGAGCGGGGCUGGUGACUAAGCCAGAAGUUACUGUCUGCAUCCUUUGUAACUUACAAAUAAAAAUGAGGACCAGACAUUAGUUAUGAAAUGCAUGAAAAACCACUGCUCUGGGAGCCACAUAAAAAGAUGGUGAUUCCAAACAUUUAACCUUAGCAUUUGUCUGUGUGGUUUCAUUUGAAAAUGAUGGGGUGCUUGAAACUCUCAGAACUUAGAAAACUCUUAAGUUUUUUUUUUCUUAAGACAGGGUCUUACUCUGUUGCCCAGGCUGGAGUGCAGUGGUGCAAUCAUAGCUCACUGCAGCCUCGAACUCCUGGCCUCAAGGGAUCCUCUUGAAUACCUGGGAUUACAGGUGCAUGCCAUCGUGGCCAAUUUUUAAAUUUUUUGUAGAGAGAAGGGUCUUACUAUGUUGCCCAAGCUGGUCUUGAACUCCUGGCCUCAAGAGAUACUCCCACCCUAGCCUCCCAAAGUGCUGGGAUUACAGGUGGGAGCCACCAUGCCUGGUCAAAACUCUAUGCAUUGAAAUAACAAAUAUAAGAAAUAGAUAAAAAUAUAAUACAUAAUGAAUAUAAUAAACAAAUAUAAUAAAUAUACAAAUAUGUAAAUAUUGUAUUCUAUAUGUAAAC
ensembl:lincRNA